ensembl:lncRNA
UGUGGAGAGCGGUGUUAGACAAAGAGGCUCCAUUUUGAAUCUUACCCUCCAUUGUAUAGAGCAAGGAGACUAUGUUAUGAGGAACCGCAUCCUUGCCGAAUUAGAUUGCCCUGGAACGUGAUGAAUGUUCUGUAACCCCGAGAAACAAGGAAGCCCAUGAGGGCGGGGAAUUUCCAAAGAACUAGAAAACAAGGAAGCAGGUGUCUCUGGAUGAGGGUCAUGAUUAACAAGCAAACUCACCUGUUGUAGAAAAGAGAGGAGAAAAACUUGGGCACUCGGUCUCUGGGAGCCCUCCUGACUCUAUCUCUUUGUCUUUAUUUUUCUUCAUCCUCACUCUCCCAUUCAGGACGCUGAAGGUGCCAGGCGGCUGCCUGAAAGAUUGGUCCAUUUUGCAGGAAAUUUUCCUGCCCCUUAGGAUGAUCCCGACAACUGUCCUGAUGAUAAAUCUAAUGAUGAUGCUUAAUGAGAAUGUUUAUUGGACUUAUGCACCUGAUCCACCUGUUGUACAUCCAACGAGCUGAAAAAAUGGACAAGUAAUGGUAUGGAUGAACAAUACCAGGCUGUUGGAUGAGCCGGCAGCACCUGACAAGAACGAGGUCCAAUUGUUCAACUAUACAGAAUCAGAAACCGGAACCCCCCAUAUGUUUCUUCAAAAUCAACAGAACUGAUUGUAUAAGACUGAGUGCUCGCACCCUGACAGGAAGGCAGGUGGAUCAAUGCAAAGGUGGGAUCACUGGAGUCCAUCUACAUCUACCUGUGGGUAUAGAGACCACUGGUGUAGUGCCUCAGACUUUUAAUGCUGCAAUAAGACUAUUCCAUGGAAGGGAUGUGUGGCAGAUGCCUCUGUGAGAUAUAAUAUUACUGGACUUGAUACUUAUGUUUUGGACUGGUCUGAAAAUUCUUGUCACCCCAAAAGAAAUGUCAUUGCAAGCGUCAUGCGCUCUUAUGUAUUCCUUGUAAGAAAUAUUAGUGUUCAGAAAGGUUAUGAUUAUUAUAGUGUAAUUUGCUUUAAUUGUCAAAUAAGCAGUUGUGUCACCCGAACAGAAAAUCAGAUAAUGGUUUUGCGAACGUGUUCUUAGAUUUGGAUAUUAUAGAUCCCCAAAAUGCAGAACCCCUGGAAUUUGAUGCAGCCCAGGCUGCACAGGAUUUUAUCGAACAAAUUAGAAAGGUUCUGCCAUCUACAUCUGCAUUUACGUGGUAACUCAUUUCCAUAGUAAUUAUUGGAGGAGGGCUGCCUCUUAGAUGCAUGAUCCUUCCGGCACUACUGCAGAUGUUUGUGCAUUCUUUAAUGAGGAUGGCUGGAAGUAUUCAUGGUCUAUAAUUACAUGCUACACCGCCUAAACCCAUGGUGUAAUUCCCUGCAGAGGCUGGUAGUCAAUGAUGGGUAAGUGGAGUAUAGGAAAUCACCAACCUAAGACAAAGCAAGAGUACUGUGAUGCUCUUGACUCCAUGACAGGUAAGGGAUUUCUUUAUAUUCCUCGCCUAAGACAGGCACAGUCUAUCUGCGUGAUCAAGGGACCUUGAUCAUAAUAUAUAAAACGGGGAGAUGUGGAGAGCAGUGUGAGGAGAGCGGUGUUAGCCAAAGAGGCUCCAUUUUGAAUCUUACCCUCCAUUGUAUAGAGCAAGGAGACUAUGUUAUGAGGAACCACGUCCUUGCCGAAUUAGAUUGUCCUGGAACGUGAUGAAUGUUCUGUAACCCCGAGAAACAAGGAAGCCCAUGAGGGUGGGGAAUUCCCAAAGAACUAGAAAACAAGGAAGCAGGUGUCUCUGGAUGAGGGUCAUGAUUAACAAGCAAACUCACCUGUUGUAGAAAAGAGAGGAGAAAAAUAAACUUGGGCGCUUGGUCUCUGGGAGCCCUCCUGACUCUAUCUCUUUGUCUUUAUUUUUCUUCAUUCUCACUCCCCCAUUCAGGUACUGUUCAACAAGUGAUGGCGGGCUCCAUCACUUAAUAAUAUAUAAAUAAAUGGUGCAUCUUAAAAGUCAAAGAAAUGUCGUAAAAGAAGUCCAGAGCUAACAUAACAGUUCCAUAAAGUCACCACGAACCCAGGGUCUUUUCUGUUAUUUUCUUCUAUCAUUCUCAGACCUGAGCUCCACUUGUAAUUUCAUGGUCCCUGGUGGCUACUGGAACUCCAGCCAUUAUUACUCAUUUCUUAGGCAGCAAGCAGGAAGAAAAGCAGAAGACUACACAGCUUUAAG